rnacentral:lncRNA from 1 species
GUACUUGCAUAUGUGGCUUAGUGCUCAUCCUAGUUUGCCCACUUUCUAGAGCUUCCCUCUAUACCUGUUAGUAAUCAAUUUUCUAAAGAAUUUAACAUAUUAUUAAUUUCUUGGUAACUUCAUAUGUUUUAUUGCGGAAUUAAUCAUAUAAUACAUUCAAAUUUCAGUUUUCAAUUAAUGGUUACCAUUACCACUCAGUUGGUUUUGGUGCUAAUUAUUAUUUGAAACAUUUUGGUUUCUGUUCAGACAUAAUACGGACCUUUUAAUUGUGCAUAUGGUCGCUAUGUUUUUGUUGUUACUGCUUAGUGGUGUCAACUUUUGUGAUUGGCUGGGUUGAAAUGUUAACAUGAUUUAUACCUUGCAUUUAUUCCAUAGCUGCUAUGCAUUCACUAUGUGGUGUGUUGAUAGAGAGAUGUGGGAGAGGGAAGAAACUGAACGAACCACAACAGGGGAGAGACAGAGCAAAGUGAUUUAGAGAAAAAUGGCUGCAAUGUUGCGUGCGACAUAGAGAGAUGGAGUGAGAGGCCGCACUUGCGGCACAAAAAAUGAUUCAUUUUUAUGAUCCUGGCUGCGAUUUUACGAUCUUGGCUACGGUUUUCACAGCAAAUGAUUUUGUAUUGGAUCUAUUGUGGGGGACCAUUAAGAUCGCAUGAUCUUACAAUUUAAAUCGUGACUUUGAUAACCCUGAUAGUAUGCACAGAUUCAAGUUAACAAUGAUCAUCUUAUGGUUUUUUAUGUUUUAGCUCUUGCUUCUUGAUAGUGUUUAAUGGAUUACAAGAUAACUGAUUAUUCUUGUUGAAUGAUUAAUGUCAAAAUGAAAGUUUUGUAUAUUUUGGUCUUUUAUUUGCAAGGGUUUUAAAGUUGUUUUGAAGAUAUAUCAUCAUCAUAUGGUUGUGUAAAUGAUAUUAUUGAAUUCUUACACACAUGCAACACAGUGUACAAUUCAUAACAUUGGUAAAAUGACCUGAAUAUAAUUGAUUUAUUGUCUUAGAUUAUAGUGAAGUUCAUUUCCAUAUAUGUUGCCUUACAAUGUCUCAAUAUUUUAAUAUUUAUUGCACCUCAAUCCUCAAAAUAGACUUAUAACGUCAUAGUUGAAAUGUCUCUUUUUCAGGUUGGUUGUGUUUGUUCGUUUCAAUAGAAGGGUUAUUCUCUAGCUGGCUGAAUUGCUUAGGUUCAUUUGUGGGUCUGGAGCGUUGCUGAAUAUGGCGGUGAAAAAGGGUAAUAGUUUUAGGGUUGUGGAAUUCCUAAGUUCAUUUUGAUUAUUUAUUAUGGUGUAAAACUUGAUGAGGUGAAAAAACUUGUUCUGAAUAGAUAGGCUAAAUUUGUCUCUGGCUUUAUUAUUAAAUGUUGUUUGUAGGAAAAAAUACAAUCUUCAAAGUCUAAUAUGUUUGAUUUUCAUGUUUCAUCCUGUUAUUCUUGUUCUACCAGAAAAAGCUAGGAUAGUUACCAUUCUCAUAAACAAUGAAAAAUUCUAGAGUAAAAAAGUUUUUACUUGAAAGACAUGACUGCCACAUUCAUGGUUCAAAUUUUUUACAACUUUAUCUUGAAUUUAGAUAGUAAAACUUCAAAUUUUAUUUCCGGCAUGAUUAGGAUAGGCUUGAAAAUCAAACUGUAGUCAUGAUGCAGGAAAAAUUUAUCUGGACAUUGCAUAUUUUAGUAGGAGG